AACGAACGCUGGCGGCAUGCCUAACACAUGCCAGUCGAACGAGACCUUCGGGUCUAGUGGCGCACGGGUGCGUAACGCGUGGGAACCUGCCCUUAGGUUCGGAAUAACUCCCCGAAAGGGGUGCUAAUACCGGAUAAUGUCUUCGGACCAAAGAUUUAUCGCCUUUGGAUGGGCCCGCGUUGGAUUAGCUAGUUGGUAGGGUAAAAGCCUACCAAGGCGACGAUCCAUAGCUGGUCUGAGAGGAUGAUCAGCCACACUGGGACUGAGACACGGCCCAGACUCCUACGGGAGGCAGCAGUGGGGAAUAUUGGACCAUGGGCGAAAGCCUGAUCCAGCAAUGCCGCGUGAGUGAUGAAGGCCUUAGGGUUGUAAAGCUCUUUUACCCGGGAUGAUAAUGACAGUACCGGGAGAAUAAGCUCCGGCUAACUCCGUG
rnacentral:rRNA from 1 species